rnacentral:tRNA from 2 species
GCGAGUUUGGCCGAGUGGUUAUGGCGUGACGUUUAGGCCGUCAUGGGUACGCCCGCGCGCGUUCGAAUCGCGUAGCUCGCA